rnacentral:rRNA from 1 species
GACGAACGCUGGCGGCGUGCUUAACACAUGCAAGUCGAACGAAGUGGCGAACGGGUGAGUAACGCGUAAUCAACCUGCCCUUCAGCGGGGGACAACAGUGGGCAACGACUGCUAUUACCGUAUACCGCAGGAGGGGUUUGCGCCUGAUUAGCUAGUUGGCGGGGUAACGGCCAAACAAGGCGAUGAACAGUAGCCGGGCUGAGAGGAUGAACGGCGACAUAGGGACUGAGACACGGCCCAGACUCCUACGGGAGGCAGCAGUGGGGAAUCUUCCGCAAUGGACGAAAGUCUGACAGAGCAACGCCGCGUGAGUGAUGACGGCCUUCGGGUUGUAAGGCUCUGUUAAGCGGGACGCGGUACCGGAAUAGAAAGCCACGGCUAACUACGUGCCAGCAGCCGCGGUAAUUC